rnacentral:rRNA from 1 species
AUUGAACGCUGGCGGCAGGCCUAACACAUGCAAGUCGAACGAGUGGCGGACGGGUGAGUAAUGUCUGGGAAACUGCCUGAUGGAGGGGGAUAACUACUGGAAACGGUAGCUAAUACCGCAUACCAUCGGAUGUGCCCAGAUGGGAUUAGCUAGUAGGUGGGGGAAAGGCUCACCUAGGCGACGAUCCCUAGCUGGUCUGAUAGGAUGACCGGCCAAACGGGAAUGGCGACACGGUCCAGACCACGACGUGAGUAAGAAUGGGGGAAUAUUGCAUAAUGGGCGCAAUCCUGCUGCAGCCAUGCCGCGUGUAUGAAGAAGGCCUUCGGGUUGUAAAGUACUUUCAGCGGGGAGGCGUUACCCGCAGAAGAAGCACCGGCUAACUCCGUGCCAGCCGCCGCGGUAAUUC